rnacentral:rRNA from 1 species
UCGGUCAUCGAUGGGGAUGCGUUCCAUUAGGUUGUUGGCGGGGUAACGGCCCACCAAGCCUUCGAUGGAUAGGGGUUCUGAGAGGAAGGUCCCCCACAUUGGAACUGAGACACGGUCCAAACUCCUACGGGAGGCAGCAUG